AGAAUCAAUGCUGGCGGCGUGCCUAACACAUGCAAGUCGCACGAGAAAGUGGAGCAAUCCACGAGUAAAGUGGCGCACGGGUGAGUAACACGUGAAUAAUCUACCUCCGAGUGGGGAAUAACUGAGAGAAAUCUUAGCUAAUACCGCAUAAUACCCACGGGUCAAAGCAGCAAUGCGCUUGGAGAGGAGUUCGCGGCCGAUUAGCUAGUUGGCGGGGUAAUGGCCCACCAAGGCGAUGAUCGGUAU
rnacentral:rRNA from 1 species